GUGAGGAAUAUUGGACAAUGGGCGCAAGCCUGAUCCAGCCAUGCGGCGUGCAGGAAGACGCAUCUAUGGUGUGUAAACUGCUUUUGUACGGGAAGAAACACUCCCUCGUGAGGGAGCUUGACGGUACCGUAAGAAUAAGGAUCGGCUAACUCCGUGCCAGCAGCCGCGGUAAUACGGAGGAUCCAAGCGUUAUCCGGAAUCAUUGGGUUUAAAGGGUCCGUAGGCGGUUUAAUAAGUCAGUGGUGAAAGCCCAUCGCUCAACGAUGGAACGGCCAUUGAUACUGUUAGACUUGAAUUACAAGGAAGUAACUAGAAUAUGUAGUGUAGCGGUGAAAUGCUUAGAUAUUACAUGGAAUACCAAUUGCGAAGGCAGGUUACUACUUGUGGAUUGACGCUGAUGGACGAAAGCGUGGGGAGCGAACAGGAUUAGAUACCCUAGUAGUCC
rnacentral:rRNA from 1 species